AAUGAACGCUGGCGGCGCGCCUAAUACAUGCAAGUCGAGCGAGAAGACGUAGCAAUACGUUUGUAAAGCGGCGAACGGGUGAGGAAUACAUGGGUAACCUACCCUAGAGUGGGGAAUAACUAGCCGAAAGGUUAGCUAAUACCGCGUACGCUCCUUGGACUUCGGUUCAGGGAGGAAAGCGAUGCCGAGGGUAUCGCGCUCUUGGAUGGGCUCAUGUCCUAUCAGCUUGUUGGNGAGGUAACGGCUCACCAAGGCUUCGACGGGUAGCUGGUCUGAGAGGACGAUCAGCCACACUGGCACUGCGACACGGGCCAGACUCCUACGGGAGGCAGCAGUAAGGAAUAUUGCGCAAGUGGGCGAAAGCCUGACGCAGCGACGCCGC
rnacentral:rRNA from 1 species